rnacentral:rRNA from 1 species
UGGGUAAUAUUGGACAAUGGGCUAAAGCCUGAUCCAGCCAUGCCGCGUGUGUGAAGAAGGUCUUCGGUUUGUAAAGCACUUUAAGUUGGUAGGAAGGGCAGUAAGCGAAUACCUUGCUGUUUUGACGUUACCGACAGAAUAAGCACCGGCUAACUCUGUGCCAGCAGCCGCUGUAAUACAGAGGGUGCAAGCGUUAAUCGGAAUUACUGGGCGUAAAGCGCGCGUAGGUGGUUCGUUAAGUUGAAUGUGAAAGCCCCGGGCUCAACCUGGGAACUGCAUCCAAAACUGGCGAGAUAGAGUAGGGCAGAGGGGGGUAGAAGUAACUGUGUAGCGGUGAAAUGCGUAGAUAUAGGAAGGAACACCAGUGGCGAAGGCGACCACCUGGGCUCAUACUGACACUGAGGUGCGAAAGCGUGGGGAGCAAACAGG